UAAACAGACAAGACCUUCUUUACCUGCCGCCCUGUUUCAUCAUAUAUUAAUGCCUUAAAACAUGUCAAUGUUUACUUUUGUAUAUAAAUCAACACAAAAUCUGUAUAUUGGAGGAAUAUUCACAGACUCUGUUAGCUUACUGUUGCAGACGAGGGAUGAUGAGGAUGGCCGCCAAGACCGACGGACGGGCGUUGGGCGCUCUCCUUUACGGAACUUUACAGUUUGUGGAAUACGUGGCAGAACAUCUAGCAGAGCACUGCAUUGCAGGAGAGAGGAAGCCUGUUGAUUGCUGCCCAGAAAUAACAGCACGGCGGAUAACACUCCGGGAGCACUCUUGGCAUUCUCUUGAUUAGCUUGACACACCUAAAAGGGUUUUCACUUCACAGGUGUGCUUGAAGCGCAUCGAGAGAAUGCCAAGAGUAUGCAAAGCAGUAAUCAGAGAAAAGGUAACAGCACGGCGGAUAACACUCCGUUAUAGCUAGCGCCUUCUUGCGCUAGCUAUCCCAGUACUUUGUGCCAUCUACAAAUGCCAUGGUGUUCAUGUCAUCAUGAAAGACAUGAACAUUGAGCGCAAAAACAAAGGAGACUGCGACUGGGUUGAUAUCCGCCGACCGCCGUGCUGCUGAAAAGGAAAAAGCGAAAAUGACGAACAUUGCGGGAAUGACAU